rnacentral:rRNA from 1 species
GACGAACGCUGGCGGCGUGCUUAACACAUGCAAGUCGAACGAUGAACCCGGAGCUUGCUCCGGUGGAUUAGUGGCGAACGGGUGAGUAACACGUGAGUAACCUGCCCUUGACUCUGGGAUAACUGCGGGAAACUGUAGCUAAUACCGGAUACGACCCUCGGCGGCAUCGCCAGGGGGUGGAAAGAAUUUCGGUCAAGGAUGGACUCGCGGCCUAUCAGCUAGUUGGUGAGGUAACGGCUCACCAAGGCGACGACGGGUAGCAGGCCUGAGAGGGUGACCGGCACCCCUGGGACUGGGCAACUGCCCAGACUCCGACGGGACGCAGCAGUGGGGAAUAUUGCACAAUGGGCGCAAGCCUGAUGCAGCAACGCCGCGUGAGGGAUGACGGCCUUCGGGUUGUAAACCUCUUUUAGUAGGGAAGAAGCGAAAGUGACGGUACCUGCAGAAAAAGCACCGGCUAACUACGUGCCAGCCGCCGCCGUAA